rnacentral:lncRNA from 1 species
GAUAUGCACACGCCUAUGCAACGCGUGUAGCAAGUUGUGUGGCCCGAUCUUCUCGUAGGAUCUGCGAACUUGAUAACUUGUCGCUGCGUGACCUGGUGAAGAGGCAGUGCACCACGAGGCUGUCCACGCGACGAACUACCGAGACAAUCACCCUUCCACGUACCGACGAAACAGCCCACGCAAUCACGCCCUAUAGACGUGAAGGCACGAACUGGAUGAACCGCAGUUCGGCGUUCUACAACUCCCUCAGGAAUCGAAAGAACAAGUGUUGCAAGCCUCUCAAGACUCACGCAUAAACAAAACUCCACGAGUUUGUGUAUUCUGAAUUUUGUCCAUCAAGAUCUGACCUUUCAUUGUCUAGUACAAGUUACAUAUAGAGAUAGGGGCGUUCAGCUUGGAGUAAAUGGCAGCAUGCGCAUGCACUAGUGGAUUUCGUGGCUGGUUCGCGCGUCUUUCAGCUUCUGGCAGCAGUUACUAAAAUGAGCAUAACUCUUUAUUGGGAAGUCCAAAUAAUGAACCGUUUGAUGGAGUGGAAAAUAGACUUGAAGAAGCUUCCAUCCACAUAUAGAACACCGUCUAACUCCUUGUAUUCUGUCCACGGUGAUGCUUGGAAUUCGUACCAUGUGUCAGUCAUCUAGCUUCUGGUUGCAUUCCCAUGCAAAGGUGAUGAACCACCAUUUUAUUCAUGCACACCAUAGGCUUCUUGGUUCAAACGUCCAGAGGCUUGAAUCCAUCUUCAUCCCAUGCUCGUUCAUACACUCCAUCAUUCCUAAGGACAUUGGAACAAGAACUCAAAAGCAUAGGCUCAUUCAACAUAAACUGAUUAUUAAACAUAAGGUUAGCGUUCACCUGAGAAUGAAUUUCCUUCUCCAAUUGUUUAGCUCUACUUCUUGUAAUUGGACCAGCUAUAUCAAGUGGAGUUUCAUGUGAAGAUGAGUGAAUGCUAGGAAUGUCCUCAUUAGCCUCCCCCUCUUGAGAAGGAGUCGUCCUCGACUCUGGCUCACCAACAAAUGGAAGCAAGUCUUUGACAUUGAAUGUUGUACUCACAUUGGAAUAUUCAGGUGGCAGCUCAAUUUUGUAAGCAUUAUCAUUUAUCUUUUGGAGAACUUUGAACGGACCAUCACCCCUAGGAGAUAACUUAGUCUUGCGAUGUUGGGGAAAACGAUCCUUGCGUAGAUGUAACCACACAAGGUCCCCCGGCUGGAAUGUAACCUUCUUCUUACCUUUGUUCGCCUGCUUUGCAUAUUGUGCUGAUUUCUUCUCAAUAUUUUUCCUUGUCUCAUCAUGUAGUUUCUUGAUAAAGUCUGAUCUCUUUGAUGCAUCCAUGUUAACUUGUUCCUGCAAUGGUAAAGGCAAAAGAUCCAUGGGAGUAUGCGGUUUAAACCCAUAAACAAUUUCAAAUGGACAAAAGUUUGUUGUGGAAUGGACUGCCCUGUUAUAAGCAAAUUCAACAUGUGGAAGGCAGUCUUCCCACUGCUUCAAAUUCUUUUUCAACACAGCACGCAACAUGGUGGACAAGGUACGGUUGACAACUUCAGUUUGCCCAUCGGUUUGCGGAUGACAAGUGGUGGAAAAUAACAACUUCGUACCAAGCUUAGCCCAUAAUGUCUUCCAAAAAUAGCUUAGAAAUUUUGUAUCCCGAUCUGAAACAAUAGUCCUUGGCACUCCAUGUAAACGAACGAUCUCCCUGAAAAACAAAUCAGCAACGUGUGAAGCAUCGUCGUUCUUAUGACAUGGAAUAAAAUGUGCCAUUUUAGAAAAUCGGUCAACAACAACAAAGAUAGAAUCCCUCCCCCUCUGAGACCGAGGUAACCCUAAAAUAAAAUCCAUGGAUAUAUCUUCCCAAGGUACAUUUGGAACUGGUAAUGGAGUAUAAAGACCAUGGGGAUUAAGGCGGGACUUAGCUUUCAAGCAGAUUAUGCAACGUGCAACAUGUCGCUGGACAUCACGUCGCAUAUGUGGCCAAAAGAAAUGAUCGGAGAGCAUGUCCAAUGUCUUUUUGACGCCAAAAUGACCAGCUAAGCCACCAGCAUGUGCUUCCUGCAAAAGAACUUGACGAAUCGAGCAGGCUGGAAUGCAUAGUUUGUUAGUCCGAAAUAAAAAACCAUCAUGCACAUAAUACUUGUCCCAGCCUUUUCCAGCAAUGCAAUGAGAGAAAGGUUCUUUAAAAUCAGAAUCAGCUGCAUAGAGUGUUUUAAUGGAUUCCAAACCAAGCACUUUUGUAUCUAAUUGUGUAACCAAACCACAUCUCCGUGAUAAAGCAUCGGCAACAAUGUUAUCUUUUCCACGCUUAUGUUUUACAACAUAGGGAAAUGUUUCAAUGAACUCAAUCCAUUUAGCAUGUCUACGGUUCAGUUUGCCUUGACUUUUCAGAUAUUUCAAAGCUUCAUGAUCAGAAUGUAUGACAAAUUCUUUAGGUAACAAAUAAUGUUGCCAAACUUCCAAAACUCGAACUAAGGCAUAAAGCUCUUUAUCAUAGACAGAAUAAUUCAGAUGUGGACCAUUCAACUUUUCAGAAAAGUAGGCAACAGGUUUACCUUCUUGAAGUAGUACACCUCCUAUGCCAAUACCACUUGCAUCACAUUCGAUCUCAAAUGUCUUACCAAAAUUAGGAAGUUGUAGCAGCGGUGCUUCACAAAGCUUUGCUUUCAGCUCAUUGAAGGCUUGAUCUUGUUCAUCACCCCACUUGAAUGGAACAUCCUUCUUUGUCAAAUUGUUGAGGGGUGCAGCGAUGGUGCUGAAAUCUUUAACAAAACGCCUGUAAAAACCUGCAAGACCAUGAAAACUUCUAACUUGACUCACAUUUGUAGGUGUAGGCCAAUCCUUUAUUGCUUUAAUCUUUUCUUCAUCAACUUGAAUUCCAUCUGCAGAAACAACAAAUCCAAGAAAAACAACAUGGUCUGUGCAAAAUGUGCACUUAGCAAUGUUUCCAUACAAUUUGUCAUCUCUCAAAACAGAAAGAACUUGACGGAUAUGAUCGAGGUGUUCAUCAAAUGAUUUGCUAUAGAUCAGGAUAUCAUCAAAAUAAACAACAACAAAUUUGCCAAUGAAAGCUCUUAACACAUGAUUCAUCAAACGCAUAAAAGUUGAAGGAGCAUUCGUCAAACCAAAGGGCAUCACAAGCCAUUCAUAGAGACCAAAUUUAGUUUUAAAUGCUGUUUUCCAUUCAUCACCUAUUUUCAUUCGAAUUUGAUGAUAACCACUACGUAAAUCAAUCUUGGUGAAAAUAGUUGAACCACUCAAUUCAUCUAACAUGUCAUCAAGCCUUGGAAUGGGAUGUCGAUAUCGAACAGUUAUAGCAUUGAUAGCACGACAAUCAACACACAUACGCCAAGAGCCAUCUUUCUUUGGAACUAACAAAACAGGAACAGCACAUGGUGAUAAGGAUUCACGAACAUACCCUUUGUCCAAAAGCUCUUUUACCUGUUGCUGAAUUUCCUUUGUCUCUUCGGGAUUGGUGCGGUAGGCUGGACGAUUUGGAAGAGAAGCACCUGGUACCAAAUCAAUUUGAUGCUCAAUUCCGCGUAGUGGAGGAAGUCCAGCUGGUACCUCAUCGGGAAAAACAUCUUUGAAGUCCUGUAAGAGAUCAAGAACAACACUAGGCAGCGAUGAAGAUAAAUCGGUAGUUGAAAGUAGGACCUCCUUGUGCAAGAGCACAAAGAAUGGGGCUGUGGUGUUCUUUACUUCUCUCAAAUCACUCCUGCUCACAAAUAAGCACUCAUUUUGGCGUAGCUGUUUUGAAGUGGAAUGAGGCUUUAUAUGGCUGGAUGGCGUAGGAGUCUCUCCCUUACUAGUGUUGGGGGCCUCACUCAAUUUUCUUUUCUCAGAUUCUUCUCUUUUCAUGCGAGCCACAUCUGAAGCAUGUAUCUCCUCUGGAGAUAAAGGAACAAGAACCACCUUCUUGUCAUUGGCAAUGAAAGUGUAUUUGUUAGACCGUCCAAAAUGCACCGAAUCCACAUCAAAUUGCCAGGGCCGACCAAGCAGCAAAUGGCAUGCUUGCAUGGGGACAAUAUCACAAUCAACCUCUCCAUGAUAAUCACCAAUGGAAAAUGUCAAACGAAUCAUGGCUGAAACCUUAACUGUCCCGGAAUUAUUCAACCAUUGCAUAUGGUAUGGAUGUGGAUGGCGACGUGGCUGCAAACCAAGCUUCUCAACAAGCAAAGCACUAACAAUAUUAUUGCAGCUCCCACCAUCUAUGAUGAAACGGCACACUUGUCCUUUCACUUUGCAUCGGGACUGAAACAAAUUAUGGCGUUGUCCUUGUUCAGCAGCAACAAACUGAGUGGAAAGAACUCUCCUAACCACCAAAGAAGGAGAUGGUGUAUUCAUUGUAGAAGGCUCCAAAUCAGGAAAAUCAGCAAGCAACUCAUCAAAAUCAGCACUAGUAAUCUCAUCAGAAGAUGGAGAAAUAACAUCUUGUAACAUGUCAUUGUGAGCAAAAGUUGGAAUAGUUUGAAUGGCUAAACAAUUCAGACCUAGCUCAAAUGUACCAUCCUCAGCUGAAUACUCACAAGUAUCAAGAUUUAGGUCUGCAAAUACAUUGUUAAACUCUUCAUCCUCUUCACUUUGUGAAUCAUAAGAACCAUCAGCAAGUGCAAUAAUGGUACGCCGAUUGGGACAUUCAGCUUGUUUAUGACCAUGACCACCACACUUAAAACAUUCAAUCUUGCUUGUCUUGCGUUGGGUGGCUUUAGAAGAAGAAUUGGAGUGAUUUGAAUUAACAGCUUUACCUUUCACAUCCAAUUGUUUGGAAGAAGUUGAAGCAGAUCUAGUAUCUCCACGAAAGGAAGAUUUGGACGUCGCAGCUCCUUGCUGCUGUGAUUGAGGCCAUGAAGUAGAAUUUUUAGGAGAAAAGGAAGCAUUAUGUUUGUAAGACAUAGCAAGUUGCCUUUCAGCCCUCUUUGCAAAAUGAACCAAUUCUGUGAGAGUUGUGUAAUUGGUCAUAUCCACCUUAUCAGCAAUGGGCUUAUUGAGACCAACCAAAAACCUUGCCAUAGUUGAUUCCUCAUCCUCAGUUAUCCCUGUACGAAGUAAGCACAUUUCCAAUUCCUGAAAAUAUUCAUCAACACUGCGAGUACCUUGCACAAGACGUUUUAGCUUCAAAUGUAGAUCACGAGAAUAAUAUGCAGGAACAAAACGACGUCUCAUUUCCCUCUUCAUGUCUUCCCAAGUUAUACGGUCAUGCCCAACUCUAUGAUAUUCAGUACGGACCUGAUUCCACCAAGUUAUGGCAUAGCCUUUGAACUCAAUAGCUGCAAGCUUUGCCUUCUUUUCAGCAGGGUAUUCAUACAAAUCAAAUAUUUGCUCCACUUUGGUUUCCCAUUCAAAAUAAUCAUCAGCAUUCUCCUUGCCGCUGAAUGGAGGAAUGGACACUUUAACCUUGCUCAAACCAUCAUCAUUGUGAUGUCGUUCAUGAUGACGCCGACGGUGAUCACCAUAACGACCACGGGCUCCAAAAUGGCCAAAGUUGUCACCACCAUGAUCAUCAUAUGCACCACGGCGACCAUAAGGAGCACCUCCAUGUUCAGCACUAUAAUUUGAAAGCGUUUCAGCAUCAAAAUUAGUAGGAUCACCAACAGGAACACGUCGUGCACGACCAUAACCAGCAGCAAAUUCUCGGCCACGGCCACCUGCAAAGUUAUCAAAACCAGCAGCAAAUCCUCGGCCACGGCCACCACCACGGCCACCAGCACCACCACCGCCAUGGUGAUCAUCAUCCUCAUUAUCAUGAGGUGGAGGUUCCCCACGUUGUUGCUGAAUGGAUUGCUGAAGUUGUUGCAUUCCUUGCAUCAAUUGACGCAUUUGUUCACGCACCUCCUGAAGCUCUUGAGCAGAAACAGUAUGGGAAAAAGAGUCUUCAUUACCAGCCAUGUUAGUAACAAGGAGACAAAAAAUAAUAGGACAAUGAAUAUGUGGAAUCACUCCCUCACCACUUACAAAACAAGUUCUUUCUCUCCCUGAAAAGAGCAAGAACCGUGGCUGCAAUCUGUAGUGGAAGAGUGAUUGUAACAGCGACGCCGGUGCAACAACUCACGGUGCUUUUAAGUGGAGCUUGGUGGGGUAAUAUGUAAGUGGAAUGCGCUGAAAUGUAGUGAUGCAAAACCGAAUAGUAAUCCAAGAACACUUGUCUAAGUUGCUGAAUAUAAAGGAAAAGAUGCACAAAGAAAGGAACAAGAUGGAGGAAGUGGAUAGAUGAACUGGUUGCACCAACCAAAACUUGUUGCUGCCCAAACCCCUUUUGCUGUGCUGAACACAAUUCUCUUUUAUUUCUUUUCUUUCCUUUUUUUUUUAAACAAGAACUCGUUGUUUUCAGUCCUUCUUUUGACCCAUAUACAUCUUUUCUUUUAACCUUUGUGACAAACGCAGCACAACUUUCAACUAAAGGGGCGCAUAAGGAUCAAUUAAGAUGGAUGGCGCAGCACAAAAACAAGAAACUCGGGUGGGGAAUUUGUGGCGGGUAGAAAACAAGGGUGGGACGGGUGGGUUUGUUUUUUUUUUAUAUAUGCAGCAAGCAAUGACAAUCAGAACAAGGGUGGGAUGGGUGGGUACAUGCAGCAAGCGAUUUGAUGAUUAGAACAAUGAUAACAACUAGAACGAUGUGGGAAAAAAAAAUUCAGCAACUAGACAAGUCUUAAAGGAUUAAAACUCGAUAAAGCAAACUACAAAAUCAGUAGCACGUAUGAAUUUGGGCUGUAGGUUUUCUUUUUGGCAAGUGGACAGUAGGUAUAUGAACCCUAUCCUACCAAAAACAAGAACAAUCCUACUGAGGAAACGGAGGCUCUGUUACCAGAUGAUAUGCACACGCCUAUGCAACGCGUGUAGCAAGUUGUGUGGCCCGAUCUUCUCGUAGGAUCUGCGAACUUGAUAACUUGUCGCUGCGUGACCUGGUGAAGAGGCAGUGCACCACGAGGCUGUCCACGCGACGAACUACCGAGACAAUCACCCUUCCACGUACCGACGAAACAGCCCACGCAAUCACGCCCUAUAGACGUGAAGGCACGAACUGGAUGAACCGCAGUUCGGCGUUCUACAACUCCCUCAGGAAUCGAAAGAACAAGUGUUGCAAGCCUCUCAAGACUCACGCAUAAACAAAACUCCACGAGUUUGUGUAUUCUGAAUUUUGUCCAUCAAGAUCUGACCUUUCAUUGUCUAGUACAAGUUACAUAUAGAGAUAGGGGCGUUCAGCUUGGAGUAAAUGGCAGCAUGCGCAUGCACUAGUGGAUUUCGUGGCUGGUUCGCGCGUCUUUCAGCUUCUGGCAGCAGUUACUAAAAUGAGCAUAACUCUUUAUUGGGAAGUCCAAAUAAUGAACCGUUUGAUGGAGUGGAAAAUAGACUUGAAGAAGCUUCCAUCCACAUAUAGAACACCGUCUAACUCCUUGUAUUCUGUCCACGGUGAUGCUUGGAAUUCGUACCAUGUGUCAGUCAUCUAGCUUCUGGUUGCAUUCCCAUGCAAAGGUGAUGAACCACCAUUUUAUUCAUGCACACCAUAGGCUUCUUGGUUCAAACGUCCAGAGGCUUGAAUCCAUCUUCAUCCCAUGCUCGUUCAUACACUCCAUCAUUCCUAAGGACAUUGGAACAAGAACUCAAAAGCAUAGGCUCAUUCAACAUAAACUGAUUAUUAAACAUAAGGUUAGCGUUCACCUGAGAAUGAAUUUCCUUCUCCAAUUGUUUAGCUCUACUUCUUGUAAUUGGACCAGCUAUAUCAAGUGGAGUUUCAUGUGAAGAUGAGUGAAUGCUAGGAAUGUCCUCA